UACAGAGGGUGCGAGCGUUGUCCGGAAUCACUGGGCGUAAAGGGCGCGUAGGCGGCUUGAUAAGCGUGCGGUGAAAGCCCGGGGCUCAACCCCGGGUCGGCCGUGCGAACUGUCGAGCUGGAGCACUGUAGAGGCAGGUGGAAUUCCGGGUGUAGCGGUGGAAUGCGUAGAGAUCCGGAAGAACACCGGUGGCGAAGGCGGCCUGCUGGGCAGUGGCUGACGCUGAGGCGCGACAGCGUGGGG
rnacentral:rRNA from 1 species